rnacentral:rRNA from 1 species
AACAGAGGGGGCGAGCAUUAUCGGUGUUGACUGGGCGUAAAGGGUGCGUAGGCGGCGGGGUAAGUCUGAUGUGAAAUCUCCGAGCCUAACUCGGAAACUGCAUCGGAUACUAUUCGGCUAGAGGAUUGGAAGGGAGACUGGAAUUCUCGGUGUAGCAGUGAAAUGCGUAGAUAUCGAGAGGAACACCAGUGGCGAAGGCGAGUCUCUGGACAAUUCCUGACGCUGAGGCACGAAAGCCAGGGGAGCAAACGGG